rnacentral:rRNA from 1 species
GACGAACGCUGGCGGCGUGCUUAACACAUGCAAGUCGAACGGAAAGGCCUGCUUUCCCUUGUGGAUUGCGGGUACUCGAGUGGCGAACGGGUGAGUAACACGUGAGUGAUCUGCCCCCAACUUGGGUAUAAGCCUGGGAAACUGGGUCUAAUUCCCGAUAGGACUGCAGGGUGGUGCCUGUGGUGGAAAACGAUUUUCUAGUGGUUGGGGAUGAGCUCGCGGCCUAUCAGCUUGUUGGUGGGGUAAUGGCCUACCAAGGCGGCGACGGGUAGCCGGCCUGAGAGGGUGGACGGCCACAUUGGGACUGAGAUACGGCCCAGACUCCUACGGGAGGCAGCAGUGGGGAAUAGUGCACAAGGGGCGGAAGCCUGAUGCAGCGACGCCGCGUGGGGGAUGACGGCCUUCGGGUUGUAAACUCCUUUCGACCGCGAGGAAGCCACCUGGUUGGAAGGGUGGUGACGGUAGUGGUAGAAGAAGCACCGGCUAACUACGUG